rnacentral:lncRNA from 1 species
CUUUUCUUUGGCAAGAUGGCGGAGUACGACUUGACUACUCGCAUCGCGCACUUUUUGGAUCGGCAUCUAGUCUUUCCGCUUCUUGAAUUUCUCUCUGUAAAGGAGGAAAGAUGGCGUGGGUUUUAUUUAUACACAGCCUUGCCUAGAAAGGGUAAGAGAUGGUUUGUAGGGACACAUAAAAAAUAAGGUCAUGUAAAUCAGAAGUAGGUGGGAAUGUCUACAGUAAUUCUCUUCAUUUUAAAAUUUUUAGAUAUAUAAUGAAAAGGAAUUAUUACAAGGUAAAUUGGACCUUCUUAGUGAUACCAACAUGGUAGACUUUGCUAUGGAUGUAUACAAAAACCUUUAUUCUGAUGAUAUUCCUCAUGCUUUGAGAGAGAAAAGAACCACAGUGGUUGCACAACUGAAACAGCUUCAGGCAGAAACAGAACCAAUUGUGAAGAUGUUUGAAGAUCCAGAAACUACAAGGCAAAUGCAGUCAACCAGGGAUGGUAGGAUGCUCUUUGACUACCUGGCGGACAAGCAUGGUUUUAGGCAGGAAUAUUUAGAUACACUCUACAGAUAUGCAAAAUUCCAGU